GGGUGGUAAUGCCGGAUGUUCCAGUUGAUCGCAUGGUCUUCUGGGAAAGCUUUCGCGGUAUGGGAUGGGGUCGCGUCCUAUCAGCUUGACGGCGGGGUAACGGCCCACCGUGGCUUCGACGGGUAGCCGGCCUGAGAGGGCGACCGGCCACAUUGGGACUGAGAUACGGCCCAGACUCCUACGGGAGGCAGCAGUGGGGAAUAUUGCACAAUGGGCGCAAGCCUGAUGCAGCGACGCCGCGUGAGGGAUGGAGGCCUUCGGGUUGUAAACCUCUUUUAUCGGGGAGCAAGCGUGAGUGAGUUUACCCGUUGAAUAAGCACCGGCUAACUACGUGCCAGCAGCCGCGGUAAUACGUAGGGUGCAAGCGUUAUCCGGAAUUAUUGGGCGUAAAGGGCUCGUAGGCGGUUCGUCGCGUCCGGUGUGAAAGUCCAUCGCUUAACGGUGGAUCCGCGCCGGGUACGGGCGGGCUUGAGUGCGGUAGGGGAGACUGGAAUUCCCGGUGUAACGGUGGAAUGUGUAGAUAUCGGGAAGAACACCA
rnacentral:rRNA from 1 species